AUUGAACGCUGGCGGCAUGCUUUACACAUGCAAGUCGAACGGUAACAGGGAGCUUGCUCCGCUGACGAGUGGCGAACGGGUGAGUAAUAUACCGGAACGUACCCAAGAGUGGGGGAUAACGUAGCGAAAGUUACGCUAAUACCGCAUACGAUCCAAGGAUGAAAGAGGGGGACCGCAAGGCCUCAUGCUCCUGGAGCGGCCGAUAUCUGAUUAGCUAGUUGGUGAGGUAAAGGCUCACCAAGGCAACGAUCAGUAGCUGGUCUGAGAGGACGACCAGCCACACUGGGACUGAGACACGGCCCAGACUCCUACGGGAGGCAGCAGUGGGGAAUUUUGGACAAUGGGGGCAACCCUGAUCCAGCAAUGCCGCGUGAGUGAAGAAGGCCUUCGGGUUGUAAAGCUCUUUUGUCAGGGAAGAAACGGGAGUGGCUAAUAUCCAUUUCUAAUGACGGUACCUGAAGAAUAAGCACCGGCUAACUACGUGCCAGCCGCCGCGGUAAGAC
rnacentral:rRNA from 1 species